UUUUAACAGUUGCUUAUAAGGGAACACACAUCAGACCACACGGCACUAAUGUCCAUGUAGUAAUAUGUAUUUUCUUGUGUCUCAAAGAUAAUACCUAAAAUCUAAAAAUGUGUGCUUUCCCUUCCAGAAGGUGGAGGCCUUGGCCCAGCCCAUGUUGAAUCCAGAGACGGAGUCUCGCUGUGUUGCCCAGGCUGGAGCGCAGUAGUUCGAUCUCGGCUCACUGCAACAUCCCUCCUCCUCCCGGGUUCAGGCAAUUUUCCUGCCUCAGCCUCCUGAGUAGCUGGAACUA
rnacentral:lncRNA from 10 species